UCAGCCUCACUUCCCCCUUAGGCGGAGAGAAGGAUACAGGGAAGCUUGGUAAAAAACAGAAUUAAAGGGAAUGGGUGUCGGAAGCCGAGGGUCGGAAGUUCACGACUCAUAGAAGGGGAGGGGAAUUGAAAGGCUCUCAGUGAAGAAGGUCCAGAAUCCUCCAGAUCAAUUUACCAAUAAGUUCAAUAUGUAAAACAGACCAAUGUGAUUGAAAUGGGAAUGAAUGAGAAUUAUUCCAACUUGCCAGCAGUACUUACCCCCUUUUCCACCCUCCCCAAAGGGUGUACUUUGAAAACCAUUGGAAAAACUCACCCCCUCAUGAAUGGCUUGAAAUACCCCAUCUGUAACAUGCUACAUUAAAACGUUUGCCUAUCUCA